ACGAACGCUGGCGGCGUGCUUAACACCUGCCAGUCGCACGGAAAGGCCCUGCUUUUGUGGGGUGCUCGAGUGGCGAACGGGUGAGUAACACGUGAGUAACCUGCCCUUGACUUUGGGAUAACUUCAGGAAACUGGGGCUAAUACCGGAUAGGAGCUCCUGCUGCAUGGUGGGGGUUGGUAAGUUUCGGCGGUUGGGGAUGGACUCGCGGCUUAUCAGCUUGUUGGUGGGGUAGUGGCUUACCAAGGCUUUGACGGGUAGCCGGCCUGAGAGGGUGACCGGCCACAUUGGGACUGAGAUACGGCCCAGACUCCUACGGGAGGCAGCAGUGGGGAAUAUUGCACAAUGGGCGGAAGCCUGAUGCAGCAACGCCGCGUGCGGGAUGACGGCCUUCGGGUUGUAAACCGCUUUCGCCUGUGACGAAGCGUGAGUGACGGUAAUGGGUAAAGAAGCACCGGCUAACUACGUG
rnacentral:rRNA from 1 species